rnacentral:rRNA from 1 species
CCUACGGGAGGCAGCAGUUGGGGAAUAUUGCACAAUGGGGGAAACCCUGAUGCAGCGACGCCGCGUGGAGGAAGAAGGUCUUCGGAUUGUAAACUCCUGUUGUUGAGGAAGAUAAUGACGGUACUCAACAAGGAAGUGACGGCUAACUACGUGCCAUGCA